rnacentral:tRNA from 1 species
GGGCGAAUAGCUCAGCUGGUUCAGAGCGUCUGCUUUACACGCAGAGGGUCCGGGGUUCGAAUCCCUGUUCGCCCACCC